rfam:Glycine max cultivar Williams 82 chromosome 1, whole genome shotgun sequence.
ACAGCAGUGAUAAGCCUAUAACAUGUAAGAAGAAAUCCCUACUUGGGUUUCUUCAAUGAAAUUUACUUGUUACGCUUGGCUUCUGAGCUUU